GACAGAGGCCUCAAGCGUUAGGCGGAAUCACUGGGCUUAAAGCGUGUGUAGGCGGAUCGUUAAGUGUCUUGUGAAAUCCCACGGCUCACCCGUGGAACUGCUGGGCAUACUGGCGAUCUUGGGCCAACUAGGGGCAGCCGGAACAAGCGGUGGAGCGGUGAAAUGCGUAGAUAUCGCUUGGAACGCCGAAGGUGAAAACAGGUCGCUGGGGAUGUGCCGACGCUGAGACACGAAAGCCAGGGGAGCAAACGGG
rnacentral:rRNA from 1 species